rnacentral:rRNA from 1 species
GAUGAACGCUGGCGGCGUGCCUAAUACAUGCAAGUCGAGCGAACAGAUAAGGAGCUUGCUCCUUUGACGUUAGCGGCGGACGGGUGAGUAACACGUGGGUAACCUACCUAUAAGACUGGGAUAACUUCGGGAAACCGGAGCUAAUACCGGAUAACAUUUGGAACCGCAUGGUUCUAAAGUGAAAGAUGGUUUUGCUAUCACUUAUAGAUGGACCCGCGCCGUAUUAGCUAGUUGGUAAGGUAACGGCUUACCAAGGCGACGAUACGUAGCCGACCUGAGAGGGUGAUCGGCCACACUGGAACUGAGACACGGUCCAGACUCCUACGGGAGGCAGCAGUAGGGAAUCUUCCACAAAGGGCGAAAGCCUGACGGAGCAACGCCGCGUGAGUGAUGAAGGGUUUCGGCUCGUAAAACUCUGUUAUUAGGGAAGAACAAAUGUGUAAGUAACUGUGCACGUCUUGACGGUACCUAAUCAGAAAGCCACGGCUAACUACGUG